GGGCGGAGCCUGAGCAGGGGGACCCAGGAAGGUCGGUGCGCCGCCGCCGCCGCCAUCUCCAAGCUGGCCACCAGGUGAGCGCCUGGACAGGCAUUUCGGUGGAAUCUCCAGAUGGUCCAGGGAUGCAGGCUGCAGACCUUUGGGCCAAAGCCAACCCACAGCCAUGUUUUCUGUGGUCCAGAGAGUGGGUCCCAGCGGUGUGGCCAACUUGAAAGGGGACAUUUGAAGCAGUCACGCCAAGGAGUUAAGAGCUCCCCUAUUUAUUAGGGUGGCUUUGGGCACAUUUCUCUGGACCUCCAUUCCCUCAAAGGAAAAAAUGAGGGUGAUGAUCAUGCUUGUGGAGAAGAGAGUUAACUCCCCAGGCCUGAGUUGCUCAAACCCUGGACAUUCCCAACAAGAGCCCAUUGCCGUGCCUGGUCCUUGACCAGCCUGGGAAUUGAGCUCUUCGAAUGUUCUGAUAACGUUUUGCAUGGCUGGGCUCUUGAACCACACUGUACCAGUUUGUCCAGAUAGGUCGUGCAAACAACGUAAUUUGUGGCUGAACACCUGCUUUCCUUCUGGGGGUCUGGAGCGUCGGGAACUGUCGUCAGUCAUUCAAGUCCUGUGUGCCUAUGUGAUGGGCCCCCAAUAAAAACCCUGGACUCCUA